GAAAUAUUGAUUUAGAAUAGUGAAUAUACUUGUAUGCGUAUGAGUCGAAAGUAUUAAUACUAUGUACAUAAAUUUGAUCUAUACAACCUACAUGAUCCCUGUAAAAAGAUAUACAAUUUGAUGAUGGGAAAUGAUCCUUAUGCAAUCAAAAAGAAAAGAGAGACCCUAUUCUCAAUCCAAUCUUUUACCUAUUGCCAUUACCAUUCUCUUUAGUUGGCCUUUCAUCUUGAAUUUCUUCUAAGUCUUCAAACUCAGGUCCUUUACCAGCUUGCUGUUUCCAAUAUGCAACCAACUUCUUCAGCCUUGCUAUCUCCUUUGAAGAAACAUUCUUGCUGGGGUCAUUCACAAUGGAUCUUACUCGGGAUGCAUACAUGAGAGAGUUAUGUGUCUCAUCCAAAUUUGAUUCUGCUGGAGAAACAUUCACAAACAUCAGAGUUUUGGCAUUACCACCGAGUGAAUCACUCAUCAACAUGGUUAACUUGUGAUUCCUGUAUGGUGUGUGUUGACCACCAGAAGACAAAGCACUGAUAACAUCUGCAAGUGCUGAUAAUGACUUGUUAAUGCUUUGAGCUUCCUUCAGCUGACUCCCCGUAGAACCUGACUUUUUCACUCGUUCUGAACCAGCAAGGUCCACAAAACUCAG
rnacentral:sRNA from 1 species